rnacentral:rRNA from 1 species
GCGACGAUCAGUAGCGGGUCUGAGAGGAUGAUCCGCCACACUGGAACUGAGACGCGGUCCAGACUCCUACGGGAGGCAGCAGUGGGGAAUUUUGGACAAUGGGGGAAACCCUGAUCCAGCCAUUCCGCGUGAGUGAAGAAGUCCUUCGGGUUGUAAAGCUCUUUCAGCUGGAAAGAAACGGUACGCACUAACAUUGUGUGCUAAUGACGGUACCAGCAGAAGAAGCACCGGCUAACUACGUGCCAGCAGCCGCGGUAAUACGUAGGGUGCGAGCGUUAAUCGGAAUUACUGGGCGUAAAGCGUGCGCAGGCGGUUAUAUAAGACAGAUGUGAAAUCCCCGGGCUCAACCUGGGACCUGCAUUUGUGACUGUAUAGCUAGAGUACGGUAGAGGGGGAUGGAAUUCCGCGUGUAGCAGUGAAAUGCGUAGAUAUGCGGAGGAACACCGGUGGCGAAGGCAAUCCCCUGGACCUGUACUGACGCUCAUGCACGAAAGCGUGGGGAGCAAACAGGAUUAGAUACCCUGGUAGUCCACGCCCUAAACGAUGUCAACUGGUGGUCUUCACUGACUCAGUAACGAAGCUAACGCGUGAAGUUGACCGCCUGGGGAGUACGGCCGCAAGGUUGAAACUCAAAUGAAUUGACGG